GACGAACGCUGGCGGCGUGCUUAACACAUGCAAGUCGAACGGAAAGGCCCUGCUUUUGUGGUGUGCUCGAGUGGCGAACGGGUGAGUAACACGUGAGUAACCUGCCCUUGACUUUGGGAUAACUUCAGGAAACUGGGGCUAAUACCGGAUAGGAGCUCCUGCUGCAUGGUGGGGGUUGGAAAGUUUCGGCGGUUGGGGAUGGACUCGCGGCUUAGCAGCUUGUUGGUGGGGUAGUGGCUUACCAAGGCUUUGACGGGUAGCCGGCCUGAGAGGGUGACCGGCCACAUUGGGACUGAGAUACGGCCCGGACUCCUACGGGAGGCAGCAGUGGGGAAUAUUGCACGAUGGGCGGAGGCCUGAUGCAGCAACGCCGCGUGCGGGAUGACGGCCUUCGGGUUGUAAACCGCUUGCGCCUGUGACGAAGCGUGAGUGACGGUAAUGGGUAAAGAAGCACCGGCUAACUACGUG
rnacentral:rRNA from 1 species